rnacentral:rRNA from 1 species
AACGAACGCUGGCGGCAUGCCUAACACAUGCAAGUCGAACGAUUGCCUUCGGGUGAUAGUGGCGCACGGGUGCGUAACGCGUGGGAAUCUGCCCUUGGGUUCGGAAUAACAGCUGGAAACGGCUGCUAAUACCGGAUGAUAUCGCGAGAUCAAAGAUUUAUCGCCUGAGGAUGAGCCCGCGUUGGAUUAGGUAGUUGGUGGGGUAAAGGCCUACCAAGCCGACGAUCCAUAGCUGGUCUGAGAGGAUGAUCAGCCACACUGGGACUGAGACACGGCCCAGACUCCUACGGGGGGCAGCAGUGGGGAAUAUUGGACAAUGGGCGCAAGCCUGAUCCAGCAAUGCCGCGUGAGUGAUGAAGGCCCUAGGGUUGUAAAGCUCUUUUACCCGGGAAGAUAAUGACUGUACCGGGAGAAUAAGCCCCGGCUAACUCCGUGCCAGCAGCCGCCGCGG